rnacentral:lncRNA from 1 species
CACACUGAGCUUCCCCGGGGGGUCAGGCCCUGUGCUAGUGCAGUGGUCCCCCAUUAUCCGCGGUUUCCCUUUCCGCGGUUUCAGUUACCCAAGGUCAACUGCGGUCCAAAAAUAAUGCUACGUCCUCACCCCACGUCAUCUCCUCACGUAGGCAUGUCGUCUCCCGUCACGUGGGUGAGGGCAGUACCCAGGGAUGUUCUGAGACCACAUGCAUAUAACUAAGUACAGCGUCUUGUUAUAAUUGUUCUGUUUUAUUGUUAAUCUCUUACUGAGCCUAAUUUAUAAAUUAAACUUUAUCAAGGUAGGUAGCUAUAGAAAGAAACAUGGUCUCCGUAGGGUUCAGUACUAUCUGUGGUUUCAGGCGUCCACUGGGGGUCUUGGAAGGUGCCCGCCGUGGAUCAGGGGGGGCUCCUGUACAACAAGCAGCGCUGGCCGUGGUUACCAGGAGCCAGGCCUCGGCUCAGUGGAGGAAAGAACUCUCUCCCCGUAGGAUCUGUUUUUGGGUGGCCUGAGGUCUCCCCAGGGCCAUGAGGGGAGCAGGCCCGGUGGAGCUGCCUGCCCGGGUCAUGAGCCGUGGGGGGCGGGGUUCUGAUGUCAGGGAAGCCGAAGUUUCCAUCCUCUCCAGGUCCCCUCGACCUCAGAGGGCUUGAAGCCCCAAGUUCGAGCCGUUGACCUCCCUUUGGCUGUGCAGGUGGCUCUGGUGAGGGGCUCCCCGUUCAUCCGGGGCUUGGAGAGCUCCCCGCCUGUGCCGCUGUGAGCCGGUCAGUCCUUAGAAAGGUCCUCCUUGUUCUGAGGUAACAUCUGCUGCCUCCAGACACCAUACACGCUCUGCAGAUGUUCACAGAUGGCUCUCACAGCCUUUCCCACUCUCCUCGUCCUUGAGCCACCUCCUCCCAGAAGCCUUCCCUGACCCCCUCUUCCCACCCUGGGACUUAAUCAUUUCUCCAUCUGGGCUCCCAUGACACUGUGUGUUUGCUUCUUUUAAACACUGAACACAUUGUAACCUGGUUAUGUCUGUCCCCCCAACCAGACCCUGAGCCUUCUGAGUGAGAAGUGUGCCAGUAAUUUCUGUUUCUUUUUUUGUUGUUGAAGAUUAGCCCUGAUCUAACAUCUGUGCCAUUCUUCCUCCAUUUUACAUGUGGGUCACUGCCACAGCAUGGCUGAUGAGUGGUGUAUGUCCACGCCUAGGAUCUGAACCUGCAAAACCGGGCUGCCGAAGGAGUGUGGCCCUGCUGAGACCUUCCCUGUCCAGUGAACUUCGGCCUCCCCUUCCACGCUGGUCACCGUGAUUGACACAUAACAAAAGAGGAUGGUGACGCACACUGGGAUGGGCCCCCGUUGGCCAGGACACUGUCUUCCCUGAGUUCUGCCUACUCCCUGCCUAGCAGUUGAAGCCAGGACUUAAGUCAGACACUGCCUAGUGUGAACACUGGUUUGACCCUCAGUGUUUAAAAACAAUCUGACGUGAAAGACCUCAAUGGCGCCCACAGGGGUCUGUGUCAGCACACCUGGACCAGGCCAGAGCAACGGCCCCCACCAGCGUCUCAGUCUCCGGAGAGGUCCUUCCUCUCACCAGGAUGCCCCCAGAGCCCACCAGCCUUGAACACAGAUGAGAUGCCUGGAACGCUGUCUUGCAACCAUGAGGUGACUUUCUUGAGGGCGAGAGGCCAACAUUCUUACUAGAAUGGUGAAGUGGAAGGUGGAAGGAGCCUGGAUCCUCGAAGACACCAUUGGGCCACCACACCAGUUCCAGAACACCACCUCCCGGCCUCGUGUUAAAUGAGAAAAACAACCUCCGUCUAUUUAAGCCGGAUUUCCUGUUAACUGUGGAUGAAAGCAUUUCUCCCUGAUACACCCAUUGCUGUUAAGGGCAAAUGCGUAUAUAUGGGAUUGUGCUUUGGAAGCUGGGAACCAACAGAAACAUUUCAGGUGACAUUUGCUCGUCAAUUAAAUAUGAAAUUAAUUUAAAAAAUAAAUAAGUAAAAAUAAAAAAAAU